rnacentral:rRNA from 1 species
GGGAAUCUACCCAUCUCUGCGGAAUAGCUCUGGGAAACUGGAAUUAAUACCGCAUAUGCCCUACGGGGGAAAGAUUUAUCGGGGAUGGAUGAGCCCGCGUUGGAUUAGCUAGUUGGUGGGGUAAAGGCCUACCAAGGCGACGAUCCAUAGCUGGUCUGAGAGGAUGAUCAGCCACAUUGGGACUGAGACACGGCCCAAACUCCUACGGGAGGCAGCAGUGGGGAAUAUUGGACAAUGGGCGCAAGCCUGAUCCAGCCAUGCCGCGUGAGUGAUGAAGGCCUUAGGGUUGUAAAGCUCUUUCACCGGUGAAGAUAAUGACGGUAACCGGAGAAGAAGCCCCGGCUAACUUCGUGCCAGCAGCCGCGGUAAUACGAAGGGGGCUAGCGUUGUUCGGAAUUACUGGGCGUAAAGCGCACGUAGGCGGAUAUUUAAGUCAGGGGUGAAAUCCCAGAGCUCAACUCUGGAACUGCCUUUGAUACUGGGUAUCUUGAGUAUGGAAGAGGUAAGUGGAAUUGCGAGU